ACGUUAGCGGCGGACGGGUGAGUAACACGUGGGUAACCUACCUAUAAGACUGGGAUAACUUCGGGAAACCGGAGCUAAUACCGGAUAAUAUUUCGAACCGCAUGGUUCGAUAGUGAAAGAUGGUUUUGCUAUCACUUAUAGAUGGACCCGCGCCGUAUUAGCUAGUUGGUAAGGUAACGGCUUACCAAGCGACGAUACGUAGCCGACCUGAGAGGGUGAUCGGCCACACUGGAACUGAGACACGGUCCAGACUCCUACGGGAGGCAGCAGGC
rnacentral:rRNA from 1 species